rnacentral:rRNA from 1 species
UAUGGAGUACGGCGAGUGAAGCGGCAAAAGCUCAAAUUUGAAAUCUGGUACCUUCGGUGCCCGAGUUGUAAUUUGGAGAGGGCAACUUUGGGGCCGUUCCUUGUCUAUGUUCCUUGGAACAGGACGUCAUAGAGGGUGAGAAUCCCGUGUGGCGAGGAGUGCGGUUCUUUGUAAAGUGCCUUCGAAGAGUCGAGUUGUUUGGGAAUGCAGCUCUAAGUGGGUGGUAAAUUCCAUCUAAAGCUAAAUAUUGGCGAGAGACCGAUAGCGAACAAGUACAGUGAUGGAAAGAUGAAAAGAACUUUGAAAAGAGAGUGAAAAAGUACGUGAAAUUGUUGAAAGGGAAGGGCAUUUGAUCAGACAUGGUGUUUUGUGCCCUCUGCUCCUUGUGGGUAGGGGAAUCUCGCAUUUCACUGGGCCAGCAUCAGUUUUGGUGGCAGGAUAAAUCCAUAGGAAUGUAGCUUGCCUCGGUAAGUAUUAUAGCCUGUGGGAAUACUGCCAGCUGGGACUGAGGACUGCGACGUAAGUCAAGGAUGCUGGCAUAAUGGUUAUAUGCCGCCCGUCUUGAACCAACGGGAACCA